UACGAAGGGGGCUAGCGUUGCUCGGAAUUACUGGGCGUAAAGCGCACGUAGGCGGCUUUCUAAGUCGGGGGUGAAAUCCUGGAGCUCAACUCCAGAACUGCCUUCGAUACUGGAGAGCUUGAGUCCGGGAGAGGUGGGUGGAACUGCGAGUGUAGAGGUGAAAUUCGCAGAUAUCAGGAGGAACACCUAUUGCGAAGGCAGCUCGCUGGGACGUAACUGACGCUGAGACGCGAAAGCGUGGGGAGCAACAGG
rnacentral:rRNA from 1 species